rnacentral:pre_miRNA from 1 species
CAGUGUGAAUGUAUUCAAGUCAAUUAGAAAAUUAAAUUUAUUGACUAGAGCAUUCACGCUUAU